rnacentral:ncRNA from 2 species
UUUAUUGAACACAAUAUUACUUAUAUAUCGCCACAUGAUGGGUGGCCGUUUCUACCUGAAACCGUUCUUUUCAGACUAUAAGUAAACAGCGCGGCUGG